rnacentral:rRNA from 1 species
GAUGAACGCUGGCGGCGUGCUUAACACAUGCAAGUCGAACGAAGCACUUUAUUUGAUUUCCUUCGGGGCUGAUUAUUUUGUGACUGAGUGGCGGACGGGUGAGUAACGCGUGGGUAACCUGCCUUGUACAGGGGGAUAACAGUUGGAAACGGCUGCUAAUACCGCAUAAGCGCACAGCAUCGCAUGAUGCAGUGUGAAAAACUCCGGUGGUAUAAGAUGGACCCGCGUUGGAUUAGCUAGUUGGUGAGGUAACGGCCCACCAAGGCGACGAUCCAUAGCCGACCUGAGAGGGUGACCGGCCACAUUGGGACUGAGACACGGCCCAAACUCCUACGGGAGGCAGCAGUGGGGAAUAUUGCACAAUGGGCGAAAGCCUGAUGCAGCGACGCCGCGUGAGCGAAGAAGUAUUUCGGUAUGUAAAGCUCUAUCAGCAGGGAAGAUAAUGACGGUACCUGACGAAGAAGCACCGGCUAAAUACGUG